UAAGGAAUAUUGGGCAAUGGACGCAAGUCUGACCCAGCCAUGCCGCGUGAAGGAUGACGGCCCUAUGGGUUGUAAACUUCUUUUGUACGGGAAAAAACCUUCGAACGUGUUCGAAGCUGAUGGUACCGUAAGAAUAAGCAUCGGCUAACUCCGUGCCAGCAGCCGCGGUAAUACGGAGGAUGCAAGCGUUAUCCGGAUUCAUUGGGUUUAAAGGGUGCGUAGGCGGGAUAAUAAGUCAGUGGUGAAAGCCUACAGCUUAACUGUAGAACUGCCAUUGAUACUGUCAUUCUUGAGUACAGUUGAAGUGGGCGGAAUGUGUCAUGUAGCGGUGAAAUGCUUAGAUAUGACACAGAACACCGAUAGCGAAGGCAGCUCACUAAGCUGUAACUGACGCUCAUGCACGAAAGCGUGGGGAUCAAACA
rnacentral:rRNA from 1 species